GACGAACGCUGGCGGCGUGCUUAACACAUGCAAGUCGAACGGAAAGGCCCUGCUUUUGUGGGGUGCUCGAGUGGCGAACGGGUGAGUAACACGUGAGUAACCUGCCCUUGACUUUGGGAUAACUUCAGGAAACUGGGGCUAAUCCCGGAUAGGAGCUCCUGCUGCAUGGUGGGGGUUGGAAAGUUUCGGCGGUUGGGGAUGGACUCGCGGCUUAUCAGCUUGUUGGUGGGGUAGUGGCUUACCAAGGCUUUGACGGGUAGCCGGCCUGAGAGGGUGACCGGCCACAUUGGGACUGAGAUACGGCCCAGACUCCUACGGGAGGCAGCAGUGGGGAAUAGUGCACAAUGGGCGGAAGCCUAAUGCAGCAACGCCGCGUGCGGGAUGACGGCCUGCGGGUUGUAAACCGCUUUCGCCUGUGACGAAGCGUGAGUGACAGUAAUGGGUAAAGAAGCACCGGCUAACUACGUG
rnacentral:rRNA from 1 species